rnacentral:rRNA from 1 species
CAGCAGCCACGGGAAUACGUAGGUGGCAAGCGUUAUCCGGAAUUAUUGGGCGUAAAGCGCGCGUAGGCGGUUUUUUAAGUCUGAUGUGAAAGCCCACGGCUCAACCGUGGAGGGUCAUUGGAAACUGGAAAACUUGAGUGCAGAAGAGGAAAGUGGAAUUCCAUGUGUAGCGGUGAAAUGCGCAGAGAUAUGGAGGAACACCAGUGGCGAAGGCGACUUUCUGGUCUGUAACUGACGCUGAUGUGCGAAAGCGUGGGGAUCAAACAGGAUUAGAUACCCCAGUAGUCCCUGUCUCUUAUAC